CCCCACUAUGCCUAGCCCUUAACCAUAAUAAUACUAUACCAACUAUUCGCCAGAGAACUACAAGCAAAAUGCUUCAAACUCAAAGGACUUGGCGGUGCCCCAAAUCCCCCUAGAGGAGCCUGUCCUAUAAUCGAUACUCCCCGAUAUACCAAACCACCUUUUGCCAAUACAGUCUAUAUACCGCCGUCGCCAGCCUACCCCAUGAGGGCCACAAAGUAGGCAAAACUGUGCCAUCACAAAAACGUCAGGUCAAGGUGUAGCUAAUAAGGUGGAAAGCGAUGGGCUACAUUUUCUAACAUAGAAAACACGAAAAACACAAUGAAACUUGUAUUUAAAGGCGGAUUUAGCAGUAAAAUAAAAAAGACUACUUAUUUUAAACAAACACUG
rnacentral:rRNA from 1 species